GAUGAACGCUGGCGGCGUGCUUAACACAUGCAAGUCGAACGGAAAGGCCCAAGCUUGCUUUGGUACUCGAGUGGCGAACGGGUGAGUAACACGUGGGUGAUCUGCCCUGCACUUCGGGAUAAGCCUGGGAAACUGGGUCUAAUACCGGAUAGGACCACUUCUUGGAUGUUGUGGUGGAAAGUUUUCUCGGUGUGGGAUGAGCUCGCGGCCUAUCAGCUUGUUGGUGGGGUAAUGGCCUACCAAGGCGUCGACGGGUAGCCGGCAUGAGAGUGUGUACGGCCACAUUGGGACUGAGAGACGGCCCAGAGUCCUAAGGGAGGCAGGAGUGGGGAAUAUUGCACAAUGGGCGCAAGCCUGAUGCAGCGACGCCGCGUGGGGGAUGAGGGCCUUCGGGUUGUAAGAUCCUUUCGCUAGGGACGAAGCGUUUUUGUGACGGUACCUGGAGAAGAAGCACCGGCUAACUACGUG
rnacentral:rRNA from 1 species